AGCAGGGACAUGAAUGCCUGAGCCUCUAGCUGCUCUGCUUUGCUGUGCUGGGACUCCUCUCCUUGCUGCAAGGAGGAUUAUUUCUCCUCAGAGUGAGCCAGAAAAGGGCAGGACAUGGAUUGCAGUGCUGGAGCAGAGAGCCCCAACAGGCAGGGAAAGUGCCAGCCUUGGUGCACAUCUGAGCCCCAGAGAGCCUCCUGGGAAUCCUGACAGCUUCACGGCAAGGUGUGGGGAGAAGUGACUGGAGCUAACAACUGCAGGUGCUCCUGUAGUGAACAUGCACAGUGAUGUCAGACAGAAUUAAACCCUUCUGGUACUGUU